rnacentral:rRNA from 1 species
GACGAACGCUGGCGGCGGGCUUAACACAUGCAAGUCGAACGGAAAGGCCCUGCUUUUGUGGGGUGCUCGAGUGGCGAACGGGUGAGUAACACGUGAGUAACCUGCCCUUGACUUUGGGAUAACUUCAGGAAACUGGGGCUAAUACCGGAUAGGAGCUCCUGCUGCAUGGUGGGGGUUGGAAAGUUUCGGCGGUUGGGGAUGGACUCGCGGCUUAUCAGCUUGUUGGUGGGGUAGUGGCUUACCAAGGCUUUGACGGGUAGCCGGCCUGAGAGGGUGACCGGCCACAUUGCGACUGAGCUACGGCCCAGACUCCUACGGGAGGCAGCAGUGGGGAAUAUUGCACAAUGGGCGGAAGCCUGAUGCAGCAACGCCGCGUGCGGGAUGACGGCCUUCGGGUUGUAAACCGCUUUCGCCUGUGACGAAGCGUGAGUGACGGUAAUGGAUAAAGAAGCACCGGCUAACUACGUG